rnacentral:rRNA from 1 species
GAAUAAGUAACGAUAAAGCAGGCGAGAAACCUGCUCACCGAUAGACUAAGGUUUCCUGAACAACGCUAAUCGGUUCAGGGUUAGUCGGGACCUAAGGCGAACCCGAAUGGGGUAGUCGAUGGACAACGGGUUAAUAUUCCCGUACUUGUGUUUACUGCGAUGGGGUGACGGAGUAGUGAAAGUCCUGCGUACUGACGGAAUAGUACGUUGAAGCCAGUAGAUAUAGGACCUGUAGGCAAAUCCGCAGGUCUUGUCGAAGGUGAUAGUACUCGGAGUUUUCGAACAAAGAGAUAUGGACCUAAUCAGACUUCCAAGAAAAACCUCUAAGCAUCAGGUAAAUACGACUCGUACCGCAAACCGACACAGGUAGUCAAGGAGAGAAUCCUAAGGUGCUCGAGUGAAUCAUGGCUAAGGAACUAGGCAAAAUCGCCUCGUAACUUCGGGAGAAGAGGCGCCUCGCUUCGGCGAGGCCGCAGUGAAAAGGCCCAGGCGACUGUUUAUCAAAAACACAGGACUCUGCAAAAUCGAAAGAUGAAGUAUAGGGUCUGACACCUGCCCGGUGCCGGAAGG